rnacentral:rRNA from 1 species
GGUUGAUCCUGCCAGUAGUCAUAUGCUUGUCUCAAAGAUUAAGCCAUGCAUGUCUAAGUAUAAAUAACUACACAGUAAAACUGCGAAUGGCUCAUUAAAACAGUUAUAGUUUAUUUGAUACAUUAAAUGGAUAACUGUAGAAAAACUAGAGCUAAUACAUGCCAAAACCGCAAGGUUGUAUUUAUUAGAUAUACCAGGUUGGUGAAUCAUAAUAACUUCGCAAAUCGCAGCUAUGCUGCGAUAAAUCAUUCAAGUUUCUGCCCUAUCAUGCUUUCGAUGGUAGUGUAUUGGA